rnacentral:rRNA from 1 species
UACGUAGGGACCAAGCGUUGUUCGGAUUUACUGGGCGUAAAGGGCGCGUAGGCGGCAUGGCAAGUCACUUGUGAAAUCUCCGGGCUUAACUCGGAACGGCCAAGUGAAACUGUCAAGCUAGAGUGCAGAAGGGGCAAUCGGAAUUCUUGGUGUAGCGGUGAAAUGCGUAGAUAUCAAGAGGAACACCUGAGGUGAAGACGGGUUGCUGGGCUGACACUGACGCUGAGGCGCGAAAGCCAGGGGAGCAAACGGG